CCUACGGGGUGCAGCAGUGGGGAAUAUUGCACAAUGGGGGAAACCCUGAUGCAGCGACGCCGCGUGAGUGAAGAAGUAAUUCGUUAUGUAAAGCUCUAUCAGCAGGGACGAAAAUGACGGUACCUGAGUAAGAAGCCCCGGCUAACUACGUGCCAGCAGCCGCGGUAAUACGUAGGGGGCAAGCGUUAUCCGGAUUUACUGGGUGUAAAGGGAGCGUAGACGGCAGUGCAAGUCUGGAGUGAAAGGGGGGGGCUCAACGCCCGGACUGCUCUGGAAACUGUACGGCUGGAGUGCAGGAGAGGUAAGUGGAAGUCCUAGUGUAGCGGUGAAAUGCGUAGAUAUUAGGAGGAACACCAGUGGCGAAGGCGGCUUACUGGACUGUAACUGACGUUGAGGCUCGAAAGCGUGGGGAGCAAACAGGAUUAGAUACCCUAGUAGUC
rnacentral:rRNA from 1 species